rnacentral:rRNA from 1 species
UGCCAGCCGCCGCGGUAAUACGAAGGGGGUUAGCGUUGUUCGGAAUUACUGGGCGUAAAGCGCGCGUAGGCGGACUAUUAAGUCAGGGGUGAAAUCCCGGGGCUCAACCCCGGAACUGCCCUUGAUACUGGCAGUCUUGAGUACGGGAGAGGAAAGUGGAAUUCCGAGUGUAGGAGUGAAAUCCGUAGAUAUUCGGAGGAACACCAGUGGCGAAGGCGGCUCUCUGGACCAAUACUGACGCUGAGGUGCGAAAGCGUGGGUAGCAAACGGGAUUAGAUA